AAGUGGAGCAAUCCAUGAGUAAAGUGGCGACCGGGUGAGUAACACGUGACUAACCUACCUUUUAGUGGGGGAUAACCUCGGGAAACCGAGGCUAAUACCGCAUAACAUCGCAAGAUCAAAGCAGCAAUGCGCUGGAAGAGGGGGUCGCGGCUGAUUAGCUAGUUGGCGGGGUAACGGCCCACCAAGGCGAAGAUCGGUAUCCGGCCUGAGAGGGCGCACGGACACACUGGAACUGAAACACGGUCCAGACUCCUACGGGAGGCAGCAGUGGGGAAUUUUGCGCAAUGGGGGAAACCCUGACGCAGCAACGCCGCGUGGAGGAUGAAAUCCCUUGGG
rnacentral:rRNA from 1 species